rnacentral:rRNA from 1 species
CUGAGAGUUUGAUUCUGGCUCAGAACGAACGCUGGCGGAAGGCUUAACACAUGCAAGUCGAGCGCGCCCUUCGGGGUGAGCGGCAGACGGGUGAGUAACGCGUGGGAACGUGCCCUUUGGUUCGGAAUAGCCCUUGGAAACGAGGAGUAAUGCCGAAUGUGCCCUACGGGGGAAAGAUUUAUCGCCAAAGGAUCGGCCCGCGUUAGAUUAGCUAGUUGGUGAGGUAAUGGCUCACCAAGACGAUGAUGGUUAGGGGGCCUGAGAGGGUGAUCCCCCACACUGGUACUGAGAUACGGACCAGACUCCUACGGGAGGCAGCAGUAGGGAAUAUUGGUCAAUGGGCGAGAGCCUGAACCAGCCAUGCCGCGUGCAGGAUGACGGCCUUCUGGGUUGUAAACUGCUUUUAUAUGGGAAGAAAAAGGUCUUGCGAGACAAAUUGCCGGUACCAUAUGAAUAAGCACCGGCUAACUCCGUGCCAGCAGCCGCGGUAAUGCGGA